AUUGAACGCUGGCGGCAGGCCUAACACAUGCAAGUCGAGCGGAUGAAGGGAGCUUGCUCCUGGAUUCAGCGGCGGACGGGUGAGUAAUGCCCAGGAAUCUGCCUGGUAGUGGGGGAUAACGUCCGGAAACGGGCGCUAAUACCGCAUACGUCCUGAGGGAGAAAGUGGGGGAUCUUCGGACCUCACGCUAUCAGAUGAGCCUAGGUCGGAUUAGCUAGUUGGUGGGGUAAAGGCCUACCAAGGCGACGAUCCGUAACUGGUCUGAGAGGAUGAUCAGUCACACUGGAACUGAGACACGGUCCAGACUCCUACGGGAGGCAGCAGUGGGGAAUAUUGGACAAUGGGCGAAAGCCUGAUCCAGCCAUGCCGCGUGUGUGAAGAAGGUCUUCGGAUUGUAAAGCACUUUAAGUCGGGAGGAAGGGCAGUAAGUUAAUACCUUGCUGUUUUGACGUUACCAACAGAAUAAGCACCGGCUAACUUCGUG
rnacentral:rRNA from 1 species